rnacentral:miRNA from 1 species
UGGGUGAGGAAGAAGAGG